rnacentral:rRNA from 1 species
UGAUGACGAGACGCUAAGGCGUUGAAGUAGUGUAUGUCAGGCUUCCAAGAAAAGCUCGCAAUGUCAUAGAUAAAAAUGCCUGUACCAUAACCGACACAGGUGGGUAGGUAGAGUAUACUAAGGGGCGCGAGAUAACUCUCUCUAAGGAACUCGGCAAAAUGACUCCGUAACUUCGGGAGAAGGAGUGCCUUAUUUAUAAGGUUGCAAUAACAAGAUCCAAGCAACUGUUUAUCAAAAACACAGGUCUCCGCUAAGUCGUAAGACGAUGUAUGGGGGCUGACGCCCGCCCAGUGCCAGAAGGUUAAAGAAGUUGGUUAGUUUAUACAAGCUGAUGACUGAAGCCCUGGUGAACGGCGGCCGUAACAAUAACGGUCCUAAGGUAGCGAAAUUCCUUGUCGGGUAAGUUCCGACCCGCACGAAAGGCGUAAUGAUUUGGAUACUGUCUCGGAGAGAGGCUCGGUGAAAUAGACUUGUCUGUGAAGAUGCGGACUACCUGCACCAGGACAGAAAGACCCUAUGAAGCUUUACUGUAACUUGAAAUUGGAAUUGGACUUUGCUUGCGCAGUAUAGGUGGGAAGCGUUGAAGAUACUCUUGCGGGAGUAUUGGAGCUAUCAGUGAGAUACCACUCUUGUAAUGUUAGAUUUCUAACUUUGAACCAUAAUCUGGUCAAAGAACAGUUUCAGGUGGGCAGUUUGACUGGGGCGGUCGCCUCCCAAAUGGUAACGGAGGCGUACAAAGGUUUCCUCUGAACGGAUAGAAAUCGUAUCUAGAGUUAAAGGCAUAAGGAAGCUUGACUGUGAGACCUACAAGUCGAGCAGGGACGAAAGUCGGUCUUAGUGAUCUGACGGUACUGAGUGGAAAGGCCGUCACUCAACGGAUAAAAGUUACUCUAAGGAUAACAGGCUGAUCUCCCCCAAGAGUUCACAUCGACGGGGAGGUUUGGCACCUCGAUGUCGGCUCAUCGCAUCCUGGGGCGGUAGUACGUCCCAAGGGUUGGGCUGUUCGCCCAUGAAAGCGGUACGCGAGCUGGGUUCAGAACGUCGUGAGACAGUUCGGUCCAUAUCCGGUGUAGGCGCUAGAAUAUUGAGAGGAGCCUUCUUUAGUACGAGAGGACCGAGAAGGACACACCGCUGGUGUACCAGUUAUCGUGCCAACGGUAAACGCUGGGUAGCUAUGUGUGGAGUGGAUAACCGCUGAAAGCAUCUAAGUGGGAAGCCCACCUCAAGAUGAGUAUUCUCAUCACUAUAAGUGAGUAAGGUCACGGUAAGACUAACCGUUCGAUAGGCAUUAAGUGUAAGUACAGUAAUGUAUGUGCU